UGGGGAAUAUUGGACAAUGGGCGCAAGCCUGAUCCAGCCAUGCCGCGUGAGUGAUGAAGGCCCUAGGGUUGUAAAGCUCUUUCACCGGUGAAGCGGUAACCGGAGAAGAAGCCCCGGCUAACUUCGUGCCAGCAGCCGCGGUAAUACGAAGGGGGCUAGCGUUGUUCGGAAUUACUGGGCGUAAAGCGCACGUAGGCGGAUAUUUAAGUCAGGGGUGAAAUCCCAGAGCUCAACUCUGGAACUGCCUUUGAUACUGGGUAUCUUGAGUAUGGAAGAGGUGAGUGGAAUUCCGAGUGUAGAGGUGAAAUUCGUAGAUAUUCGGAGGAACACCAGUGGCGAAGGCGGCUCACUGGUCCAUUACUGACGCUGAGGUGCGAAAGCGUGGGGAGCAAACAGGAUUAGAUACCCCGGUAGU
rnacentral:rRNA from 1 species